UGAGGAAUAUUGGGCAAUGCCCGAAAGGGUGACCCAGCAACGCCGCGUGGAGGAUGAAGGUCGUAAGAUUGUAAACUCCUGUCAGAGGGGAAGAAUAACUAAGUUUGGAGCUUAGUAUGACUGUACCCUCAGAGAAAGCCCCGGCUAACUACGUGCCAGCAGCCGCGGUAAAACGUAGGAGGCGAGCGUUAUCCGGAUUUACUGGGCGUAAAGCGCGUGCAGGCGGAUUGGAGAGUUGGAUGUGAAAGCUCCCGGCUUAACUGGGAGAGGUCGUUCAAUACUUCCAGUCUUGAGUGCAGUAGAGGGAAGUGGAAUUCCGGGUGUAGUGGUGAAAUGCGUAGAUAUCCGGAGGAACACCAGUGGCGAAAGCGGCUUCCUGGACUGUAACUGACGCUCAGACGCGAAAGCUAGGGUAGCAAACG
rnacentral:rRNA from 1 species